rnacentral:misc_RNA from 1 species
AAGACUAUAGACCUGCGGAGUACCUGCGGAAGGAUCAUUAAAGAGAAAACUGCCCUUUGGGUAGAUUUCCCACCCUUUGUUUACUUUACCUUUGUUGCUUUGGCAGGCCCGUCUUCUGACCACCGGCUUCUAGCUGGUCCGUGCCUGCCAGAGGACCCCCAACUCUUGAUUUUAAGUUGUCCGAGUCUUAUAUAAUAGUAAAAACUUUUAACAACGGAUCUCUAGAUCGGAAGAGCACAC